rnacentral:rRNA from 1 species
UACAGAGACUGCAAGCGUUUAUUCGGAUUCACUGGGCGUAAAGGGUGCGCAGGCGGCCGAGUGUGUGAGGCGUGAAAGCCCGGGGCUUAACCCCGGAAUUGCACCUCAAACUACACGGCUAGAGCAUUGGAGAGGGUAGCAGAAUUCAUGGUGUAGCAGUGAAAUGCGUAGAUAUCAUGAGGAAUACCAGAGGCGAAGGCGGCUACCUGGACAAUUGCUGACGCUCAGGCACGAAAGCGUGGGGAGCAAACGGG